GAGAGGCUUUCGUGCCAGUUUUACAAAUAAUUUUUCCUGGGGGUCCCCCCAGCCACGGCCUCUGGCCUUCCCUUCGCCCCAAGGCAGUCAGUCCCUGGUGCUCCUUGGGGAGCUCUCAGGCUCCACUCUGAAACCAAUGGGCUAAAUAAGUCUUGAGAGCCCCUUCAUGUUUAAAGCUCUGCGAGUCUAUGGUUUCUGCAUCUCAAUUCUGUGUGAGUGGAAAAAAGAGGCAGAAAUGGAAAGCUGAGAAGGAUUGGCUUACAGCAGUGGUCUCAAAAGUUUUGCUCUCAGAAUCCCUUUAUACUUCUUAUGAAGACCCCAAAGAGUUUUUGCCUUAGUCCUCCAUAUGAGUCUUUACGUUCUGUGCGAUCCUGGCCCAGUAAUUAGCUCCUCUGAACCUCAAUAUCCUUCUCUGUAAAAUUAGGACUGGAAUACCCCCUGGAGAACUAUGGAGAGAGUCAAAGAGAUAAUUAAGAUCAGAGCAAUUUUUCAACUCCAGAGGGCGUGUAUAUAUGAGUUGUUAUCACCAUAUUGUUUUUAUUAAGUAGGCAAUGUUGAUGCUGCCAUCUUUUUAUGUCAUAUCUUCCAAGUACCCAAGAGCAGCACACGAUGGCAGAAAGACUGAGUUCUGGAGUCUAUUCUGGAAAAGACUUGGAAUCCUGCUUCCUCACUGACUGGCUGUGUGGAGCCUUGGGCCAGUCACAUAACCUCUCUGAAUCAUCUCAGACCAUUAAGAAAGGAAAAAGCAUAAUAAAAUAGUUUUAUUAUAACAUAUAGUGUAUAUCUAGUAAAUGUUAUAAUUUAAACAUAGCUUUCCAGAGUUGCAGUGAGAAAUUGAGAGUGUCCGUACCGCGCUGGGACCCGCGUAGGUACUAAAAGCCAAACAAACAAAAUCAAUCUGUGCGUCUCUGCAACACACUGUUCACUCAGAUCCACCCUCCUGUGUGAUCCUUUGCCCAGAGUAUCUUCCUUCUUUUCAUCAAAACUUCACUGUAGAAACUGACUGACAAUUCCAUUUUAAGUUGGUACUUCAAAAAUAUGUUUUUGGCUCUACGAUGACUCUCGUGGCAUGGGGGCAGUCAGGACACCCAGAUGCUGAAGGUAGAAAUAUGUUAAAGAGAAGAUGUGAAUUUAGAAGGGCACGUGGGCGUGGCCAGUGUGGGAGGCUCUCAGAGAGGGCAUUGCCUUUCAGGAUGGGUUCCCCGACCUCACGUCCCCACCACAGCCUAGAACCUGGUCCUGCUCACGACGUCCAGACAUGGCCUGUGGUGCAGUCGCUGAUACCGGCUGCUGACUGGGACUCUGGCUCAGAAUCUGUCCCCACAAAACUAAUCAGGUCCGUGACUGUGAAUUUCCUGGCCCCUUUAGCUCUGAAUUUCCAGAAUGAGAGCUCCUCCCUGGUUGGCGCUGCUCUUCAGAAGGCCUGUUGUAAACAUCUCCGGAGAGGGAUGACAUUUAGCCCCAACAGCUCCGCGUAGGGGAGGGUAUUGUGCAACCAAACCGUCACAGAACCAUAAAAGAGGAGCUGCAGGGACCUUACACACCAACCAGCCCAGCUACCUC
rnacentral:lncRNA from 1 species